rnacentral:rRNA from 1 species
CCUACGGGAGGCAGCAGUGAGGAAUAUUGGUCAAUGGACGAGAGUCUGAACCAGCCAAGUAGCGUGAAGGAUGACUGCCCUAUGGGUUGUAAACUUCUUUUAAAUGGGAAUAAAAUGUUCCACGUGUGGGGUUUUGUAUGUACCAUAUGAAUAAGGAUCGGCUAACUCCGUGCCAGCAGCCGCGGUAAUACGGAGGAUCCGAGCGGUAUCCGGAUUUAUUGGGUUUAAAGGGUGCGUAGGGGGUUUGUUAAGUCAGUGGUGAAAGUUUGGGGCUCAACCGUAAAAUUGCCGUUGAAACUGGCAGUCUUGAGUACAGUAGAGGUAGGCGGAAUGCGUGGUGUAGCGGUGAAAUGCUUAGAUAUCACGAAGAACUCCGAUUGCGAAGGCAGCUCACUGGACUGCAACUGACACUGAGGCUCGAAAGUGUGGGUAUCAAACAGGAUUAGAUACCCUUGUAGUC